AAGGGAAGAAAAUAAAUGUAAAUGUAGUUUUUCUGUAGUCAUUUUUUCUGUAGUCAUUUUUAUUUGUCUAGUAUUUGAACAAAAACAUACAAACCCAAUAAUACACAUAUUCAAAUUUGGCACACAGCCACACAGCCAAACAGCCACACAGCCACAUAGCCACACAGGCACACAGCCAAACAGGCACACAGGCACACAUCCACACAGGUACACAGCCAAACAGGCACACAUCCACACAGGCACACAUCCACACAGGCACACAGCCAAACAGGCACACAGGCCAAACAGGCACACAGCCACACAGCCAAACAGGCACACAGCCAAACAGUCAUACAGCCAAACAGGCACACAGCCAAACAGGCACACAGCCAAACAGGCACACAGGCACACAGCCAAACAGGCACACAGCCAAACAGGCAUACAGGCACACAGGCACAC
ensembl:lncRNA